GGAGCUUGGACCCGGCCGGUGACGUUGAGCCGACGACGGUGGCGGUGGUGGCGCAGACGCGGGGCGCAGCGCCCUCCCGUGGACACAGGCGGCACUGCAGGAGCGGGGAGACAGCCGGUAACGGGGUGGAGUGGCGAUGCGGUGGUUAGCGCAUUGCCGCAAUGGACCUGGAAACCUGAGUUGGAUUCCCGGCCACGGCCAACAUCAGAAUGUUCUAUCCACUGCUGGAUGAAGCUGCCGCCAUCCCCUGACAAUAAUUCUCGCUCCUAAAACUCGAGCUCAUUUCGCCACUCCAUCUCCGCGUGCGGGCCCGUCGCCACAGGCACGUUUCCUCCUUCGGCUGCCGCUGUUCGGCAGCCUUCACCUCUGGCCACCAUCCCUUCUCAACGACACGUCCUGACCCAAGGCCACUCAUUUUAAACAACUCUGCACUCCCUCGCUUGGCAUUUCACCCCCGACGCACGUGCUGUUCUCUUUGGUCUCGCAUUGUGAUCCCAAGCGAUUGGAAGAGGUCUACAUCACACGAGAAGAAGAUGGUGCAUCUGAUGCAACAAGGGAUCCAUACGGUAUGACUAGUGAUCGAUCGUGUGUUUAAUGAGACGUGGGUUCUGUAUUGGGCACGACAUCGGGCUCAGUUGAAUCUUGGCCAGAUAUAUAAACACGACAUUAAAACAACACUUACUACGAAUCACUGUUUCCUUUUGAAGGGUGCAGGAAAGAAGCGAGCCCUGUUGGCAAUGAUUCAAUAUUCUUGGGCCCCUCUGGUACUCAAAGUCUGGGAUUCUGUGUGAAAUCAGAGGAUGGUGGACUAAAACAUGUGGAGACAGAGAACGCAUUCUGCUAAUCAUUGAUUUUAAGACUUGGCAAACAAGGCAGCACGGCAAAGCUUACGUCCUUCUUGAUAACAAAAUAACCUCAGAAAAUGUUUAUCUUACAAACCCAACUGUAAAAUGUACUCCCUCGAACUCUCCACAAUCAUAAAACUGAAACGUCUUUAAGUCUGAAGGUAAAAGUCUCUCGGCUGUCACCAGAGAAUAAGUGAGACUUUGGAUUAGUUACAAGGUGCUAUGGUGUAAAAGGCUGGCCGCAGCAGACUCGCCAUCCAGAGGUGGCCGGUUUGAUUCUAUCUCCGGGCGCGGCGAUUGAAACAAUAGCACAAGUUUAUUACAUUUCUCGCCUGUCACACCACCGCCUCUGACCACUCUGAAAUAUAAAUAGGCACAAAGAUAGUCGAUCGAUCGUCAGGUCGAUUACGGUGGCGUAAAUUGUGGGUACGACAAAACCUUUUCAAGAUACCUAGGCACAAAACCAUCGAUGAAAUGGGAUAUUCCAGAGCUCCCCCUGAGAGGGGGCCCUUUCAUCAACAGCGGCUGCAACAGGACACUGCAGGGCUGCGCCUGUACCUCGAAAAUGAGCACUGCAAAACACGCGUGUACUGUAUAAUAACACUUAGAUUUUAUUUAAAAUUAGAGCUUUUACAUUGAUUUAACCCCAUCACCUCCCGAUGGAUUACAUUUUGGAGUAGGUACAAAAACAACUUGCUGGCUAUGUAAGUGGGAGACCCGUGAAUCGACAGAAAGUUACGUAAGCAUACAUAUUUAGAUUUUAAACCGACAUCCACGCGUAACACAUUUAGCUCGGCAGUAGCAUAGCGACUGUUGCCCGAAGUUUUUUUGAAUGACCAGGUGAUAAGGACAUUGCUUCAUCAACAGGCCAAUCACGGGCAACCGUGACAUCCCAAGAUUGGUAGUCGGUUUAGCACGUGGGUUUUCACGACUAAUAUUCUUCACAAUUCUGGCUAGUCGCCUGAUGAGGCUGGUUGUAAUCACCAGCGAAACGUCGUACCCGAAUUGUAAAUGUUGUGGGUUUACUCUCCAACACACCGGUGUGCUGAAGUAGUAACUAAUUGGCGCGUUUUGUUUACGUGACAAACCUUACUACUAAUUGGCUGUCUCGGGUGGUGGCGGGUUUAACGACACAUUUAUAUAUUUACGCAAUCUCACUCAAAGAAAACUCUUUAUUAUGGAUACCAAGAAGAAGGAGCUGUCCAAAAAGUGAUGCUACAGGAAGUUAUAUCCUGCCAGCUGAUACCUCUAGAGUCCAGAGUUUGGUUAUAUGCACCUAACAUAUCCUCCGUCUGUUUGCAUACUCAUGUAAGAAUCACCAAAAAUAUAUUGUACGUAUGUCGAUCUUCUUUUGCACCGUACGUAGCCAAACGUGCUAGUCGGAGGUGCUGGGAAGGACAACAACAUUUUUAUUCCGAAUGGCUUUUUAAAGUAUUUUUUUCUGAGCCAACUUUUGUUACUGGAAAUGAACUUUACCUUCGUCAUUAUGGUUCGUGCACUACUUUAAAUUUCUUACUUUUGCUCCUAUUGCUCUUUUCCAUUUGCUUCAUUGCUGUACCGAGUUUUUUUUUAAUGUUUUUGCUUUUGUCAUUUUGCUUACCCAGGCCACUCUUGCAAAUUAAGACUCUCUCCCUCUCUCGAGCUCUCACCCUGCUUCAACAAAUACACACUCGAGACUUGAGAGUACUCGCCGACACGACGGGAUGGUGGCGGCUAUCGGAGUGAAUCGUUGGAUAAACCGGCGCGACAACCUCAGGCGAAAAAUCGCUCGGGCUGAGAAGAAGUCGCGACGUGUGGACGGAUCUGUUGCAGCUCCAGAAACUCGGCAAAAUGCCGACACGACCCAAGGCCUGGCCCGUGCUUCGGGUCUCGCGUGUGUACUGCUGAUGAUGGUCAAGCGAGCGAUGCCACACAGGGACACGGACGAAGCUGAUCGACGGUGGGGGCACCCGAAAAACCUCAUGGCCCCCCCACCCCUCCGCCAUGGCCACACUGCCACUCCACCUCUCCCGCCAUCUAGGGUUUGCCACCUCUGGGGAGGAAAAAAAAAACAAACCUAGACAUACCAUGG